GCUGCAUCCGCCUGCUACAAGGUCCAACUUCUGGGAUUCACCAGCUAAAGCAAAGCAGAACAGAGCGGAUCUUUCAGCGGCUAGGGGCCUCAGUUCUAAGAAGUAAAGGGGAUCUUCAUGGUAUUGUUUUGUGUGCUGCUCUGAGCACUGACAUUAAAGAAAGUGGCCGGAGAAGAAGUGGGCAGAGCAGGUUCCUUCCUCACCAGCGUCACCUGCUUUUCUCUUCCAAGUUCAAACUCGGCUUAGGUCCCCGCCUAGGGAAAAGGACAUCAGAUUCCAGGACUGGCCUGCUGUACCAGGCGGAGAGCACGAGAAACCUUCCUGCUGUAUGGUGUUUUGGCAUAGAUAUUCUGGAUGUGACUUGAGACUGCUUGCUGUUUCCGGACCAUUUACACCCAUUGUUGUCUUGUGAGCCCAGUCACGGCCUGACACGGAACGCCUCUCAUGUAAUCUUCUCAUAGGAAUCUAACUAAUGCAGAGUGCUGUGGCAUUGUCAGCCCUCAUCUUACACACUGCUCAGGAUGCAAAGGUGGCUAGUAUAGUAACAUCUGCCUCUUUAGCAAGAGCCUCAGUUGCUCCAAUUUAAAUACGGGGAGGGAGCUGGGUGCAGUGGCUUAUGCCUGUAAUCCCAGCGUUUUGGGAGCCAAGGCAGGAAGAUCGCUUGAGCCAAGGAGUUCAAGACCAGCCUGGGCAAAUUAGCAAGACCUCCUCUCUACGAAAUUUUUUUAGAAAACUUAGACAGGAGGCCAGGCCCAGUGGCUCAUGCCUGUAAUCUCAGCACUUUGGGAGGCCAAGGGGGACGGAUCACUUGAGGUCAGGAGUUCGAGAUCAGCCUAGCCAUGAUGGUGAAACCCCUUCUCUACCAAAAAAAUACAAUUACAGGCACGUGGUGGCGCAUGCCUGUAAUCCCAGCUACUCAGGAGGCUGGGGUGGGAGUAUCACUUGAACCUGGGAGGCGGAGGUUGCAGUGAGCCGAGAUCGCACCACUGUACUCUAGUCUGGGUGACAGAGUGAGACCCUGUCUCCAAAAAAAAAGAAAAAAAGUUAGACAGGAGUGGUGGCAGGAGGAUCAGUUGAGCCCAGGAGUUUGAAGUUGCGGUGACCUUUGAUCGUGCCGCUGCACUCCAGCCUAGGUGACAGAGCAAGACUCUGUCUCUAAACAAAUAAUUAAGAAAUAAACAAAUAAAUGGAGCUAUUGAACAAGGAGAGCAAACAUUUUUCAUCUUAGGAGCUGAAUAAACUUGAAUAAACAUGAAUAAACUUCUACUUGCAUUAACCACCUUGUAACAUCUCAGUUCUACCUGACUAGUAGUAACCCUGUGAGUACUGUCUGAAGACUAUCAGAUCUUAUCCAGAGCAUAAGGAAAAAAGGGUUUAGAGUCACUGAGUGACAGGGCCUGAAGGAAAACCUAGCAUACCCCAACCCCAAGCCUGUGAGCCCCUGAGAGCAGGCAUUAGUCUGAUUUGUCUCUGACCCCCAGAUGCUGGUACAGUGCCUGGCACACGGUGA
rnacentral:lncRNA from 1 species